ACCCGCACAAGCGGCGGAGCAUGCGGAUUAAUUCGAUGCAGCGCGAGAACUUACCAAGGCUUGACAUAUAGAGGAAACGUCUGGAAACAGUCGCCCCGCAAGGUCUCUAUACAGGUGGUGCAUGGUUGUCGUCAGCUCGUGUCGUGAGAUGUGGGUUAAGUCCCGCAACGAGCGCAACCUCGUUCUAUGUUGCCAGCACGUAAUGGUGGGAACUCAUGGGAUACUGCCGGGGUCAACUCGGAGGAAGGUGGGGAUGACGUCAAAUCAUCAUGCCCCUUAUGUCUUGGGCUUCACGCAUGCUACAAUGGCCGGUACAAAGGGCUGCAAUACCGUAAGGUGGAGCGAAUCCCAAAAAGCCGGUCCCAGUUCGGAUUGAGGUCUGCAACUCGACCUCAUGAAGUCGGAGUCGCUAGUAAUCGCAGAUCAGCAACGCUGCGGUGAAUACGUUCCCGGGUCUU
rnacentral:rRNA from 1 species